UUCAGGCCAAUUCACAGACAAUCUCCCAUGACGGUAUAAUUUUUUUAAUGCAGCGUCUAAUAUUGAUUUGUGAAGCACUUUGAUGACUGGAGACAAGAGGAGCAAUCUCCUUCCUAUUUGAUGCUGCUAUCUACUGUCACUCAAACUUUCUUGAUCUUCUAGAACCAUUCAUUCCAUUUGAACAGCAAGAAAAGUGAUAUUAGCAGUAAGACUUGAAGACAGUCCUCUAACUCUUGAAGAUUUUGUUGGGAAGUUGACUGAACAUCCUGUCUGGCUUCUGAGGCAUUAG
rnacentral:lncRNA from 1 species